UGUUUGAAGUCUAGAUAGAAGACAGAUCCUUCCCUUCCUCCAAGCUAGAAGAAAUUUGGCACUCAACACCUGAGAUGAACUCCUUUAAGAAUGAAAUCAUCAUGAACCGUCAGUGUCAUACUGAACAAAGACUUUUGUAUCAAAAGUCUUGUCUUUAUUUUAUAGGAGUGAAGCUCUGAACGUUACCAGAUCUCUUCCUAAGUACUUCAUUUUGGGAUAGCCAGACUAAUAGGCAAAUAAUUUUGCGUCAUUUUGCUGGAUGCACUGCAGUUAGUGGGAUUGGAAGAGUAACACAAGGGUUGUUUGCCUGACAGGGGUACUUCUGCAAUCCGUACUGAAGACCCAACUAUCUAUUCACCUUGAAUAGCCAAAAACUGCCAACUACUGCAACUACUAAGAAGUUGUGAACAUUCAUAUUUCCAAAACUUUGUCAUGGAAAUCUUAUAACAAUUUCUAGCUAAAAAUACACAAGUUCUAAAUACUGUUGCUGAACUCAGCACUGCACUGUUUCCUUUCCUGUCACAGCCAUAGAUAUGUAGGAAUAAUUCAUUUUCCUGGCAGUGAUAAAUGCAAGUUGUCCCAUUUUUUCUUUGCAAUUUCCCAUUAUUAUUGAACGAUAUUUCCUUUGGCUACCACACUUUUUUCACUUCUUUCAUUCUGGUAUUUUAUUAAAAGAAUACAUUUUAAGCUGACUUUUUCCUUCCAGAAGAGAAAAGCAAGGUAUCUACCUUUUUUUUUUUUUUUUUUUUCUUCACAGUUUCAGGAUAUUUAUUAAUUGCUUGCUAGAACAUUUCUAGACUUAGUAGAUUUUUCUGGUGGUUGAGCUGAUAAGAGCUGUUGCAGUGUAUUCCUGCUUGUGUCUGAAUUCAGUUCAAGAGUGGCAUAAUGUGACCGAACGUGCCUGUGUGCGUGUCCAGGUUUACCCACAGAAAUGUGCCCAGCUGGAGUUCAGGCAGCUUUCUGAAUUCAUUAAGAAAACUAUUAGGGUGGCCUUGGAUCUGGUGUGAGCUUAUAAUUCAAUUUUGUCAUAGAAUUUUUGAGUCUCAUGAUGUUAACUGCCUUAACAGAUCUAAGUUAAACACUGAUAUAAAUUUAAGAACGGCUACUUUGGUAAAUCUACAAUUAAGAAAUUAUUUUUCAAGUAUUGUCCUAGCUUAAAACUUGAUGAUUGAUAAAGAGCAAUUGCUUGGGGAAGAACAUUGUUGUGGCCUUUUUUGGUGAGAAUCCUGUUAAUUUCUUGCAUUCUUUGUGGGGGAACGGAUAGCUAAUGUUCAUGAUCCUCUUUUAUUCCUAACCUGUGCAGGAGAAAAUCCCACUUAAAAUCUUGAGUUUCGCUAGAUGGCAGCAUCUUGGUUUUUCAACAUGAAACUGCGUUGGUGUAGAGAAAUUUACCAGUUAGACUACAAUCCCAGCAAGCAUACCAAAACAAAUGAGCGUAAAACUUCCUUUUUCCAAAGGUCAGUAAACCGAACAAGCUGGUUGAGAUCUUUUGGUGAGUGACUAUACUAACCUUUAUUUUUAAAAACUUCAUAGAAUUAGUGUGUCAAAUAUUCAUUAAAAAUGAUUGUUAGGUUAAAAAAAAGCUUCCAAAAUUAUGUGGUGAUCCAAGGAAGUGUUGAGGGAUUUUUGAAACAGCAACGAUCCCACGGCUUGCUGCAGCUGAGCAAACCAAGUUCCCAUGACAGUGUUCCCACAUCGCCCAAUUGAGGAAUUCAGAAAAAUAUUGUUGCCAGUAGUUGGCUUCAAGGACAGGGUCUAUGUGACUGCUAAUCACAAGGGGGUUGUUUUCUUGCAGGUGGGGUUGUUUUCUUGUAGUUGUUUGUCUGAGUGCUUUUGACCAAUAAUCUUGUGUGAGACACUAUCCGCCCCUGUUAAGUUCACUAGAAAAGUCAGGCUAUUCGAGUAAUAAAAUGGAGCAUGAUCUGCAACAUAUGGGGCCCGAACAGGCUGUGACCCGGACAUGCUGAGAGAUCUGACAGAAACAGAGAGGCUUCAGAGACACAGAGAGCCCUGAGAGAAGCUGAGAGACCCAACAGCCGCUGAGAGACCUGAGACACACGGAGAGACUUCGGAGGCACAGAGAGCGCUGAGAGAUGCUUCAGAGACAUGAACGGCUCUGAGAGACGUGGAGAGCCCUGGCAGAAGCCGGAACACCUGAGAGACAUUGAGAAACUCCAGGCACUGACCCGGACACAGGACUUGUGGUAGUCGGUCUGGGUGUGUACCGACUUCCUGGAGAGCGCACCGUGCCUGGCGGAGACCAUUGCAGCCUAGCUAAUGGCUGUCGGUAAGGAGGUGUUUGUAUGGGUGGGGGGAGUGCUCUGCCCUUCCCUCGCGCCCUGCCUGCUCGCCCUGCCUGCGCAAACGCGUCUGCCCUGGAGCCAAUUGCCUCGGCAAAUGUUGAUUUGGAAAGAACUGAAGAUACAAGCCACCCAGACGAGGACUCUUGCAGGAAUGCCAGAGAAGUUCGAGAAGCUUCACCGUAGCUUAGUUCGUGAUUCAUUCCUGUGUCCAUUUUUCUUCAGUAUGCUCCUCUGCCAGUUCUCUCAGUACCCUUGGGUGGAUCCCAUCCGGCCCCAUCGACUUGUGCACAUGGUACUUUUACGUACCAUUCAAGAAGAUAAAUUAUUCCUAACUUAGGUAUGCAAUUUGCAACACCAACCAUCUCAGAGGAUUUUUGCAAUUCCAUCUUGAGCUGGUCCCGCUCAGACCUGGUAUCCUGAAGAAGUUUUUGUAGCUCAUCUUUUUCUUCAGUAGUGGAUGAGAUUUGUUCUUUAAGUUGAAAAGAAUGACUAGUUCUUUCAGCCAAUAGCUGGUCUUUUUCACUUGAUACACUAUUUAGCGUCUCAGUUAACUGUUGAACCCUUAGUGAUGGAGAAAAACAAGAACUGCGUUUGUCCUCGUCUGUACACUUCACUGUCAAGUACUAAAAUUAGUUGUGUCAAAUACGAUUUCCAGUAAUUCUAGAAUUCACAUUAGCAGCAAGAGAAGUUUAAACAUGAAUUUCAGUUUUCUAAUCACUCAAAGAAUAAAUAAGAGAAAUAGCAUUA